AAUUAAGAGCGUAUGGAGGAUGCCUUGGCUCUCAGAGGCGAUGAAGGACGUGAUAAGCUGCGAUAAGCUACGGGGAUCAGCACAUAUGAAUUGAUCCGUAGAUUUCCGAAUGGGGCAACCCAGCUACUUGAAGAGUAGUUACCCGCAAGGGGGCGAACCCGGAGAACUGAAACAUCUAAGUACCCGGAGGAAGAGAAAACAAUUAGUGAUUCCGUUAGUAGUGGCGAGCGGACGCGGAACAGCCCAAACCACUUUGGUUACGGCCAGAGUGGGGUUGUAGGACUGCGACAUCUUAACUAAAAUGAAUUGGAACGACUUGGGAAAGUCGGCCGUAGAGGGUGAGAGCCCCGUACAGGUAAGUUUUAGAGCGGUAGCAGUAUCCUGAGUAGGGCGGGGCAGGUGAAACCCCGUUUGAAUCUACCGGCACCAUCCGGUAAGGCUAAAUACUCCUGAGAGACCGAUAGUGAACAAGUACCGUGAGGGAAAGGUGAAAAGUACCCUGAA
rnacentral:rRNA from 1 species